rnacentral:tRNA from 1 species
GCCUUCGUGCUGUAAUGGUUAGCACCUUUGACGUGUAUUCUAAAGGUCCAGGUUCGAGUCCCGGCGAGGGCA